AGCAACAGUGAGUGAGCUCAGGCUGGACCACUUUGCUGGCCGAGAGGCUGGCAGAGAUGCCAGAGGCUGUGCUGGUGACUCCCUCCUUCCCUCUGGGUCAGGAUGGAGAAGGAUCCCACCACUCACAGGAAGCACCGGCCUGGACCUGGAGCCCUGCCCUCAGGAAUAACCCCUGUCUACCUCAAGGCGGCCAGUGAGGGGGCGGAACUCCAAAGGAGCAGGAGUGUGGGUGGCUUGCACCAGAAGGGGGAUCCACCAGUCUGCAUCAGGAAGCUGCUACGCAAGGAGCUAGACUCUGAGGACCAAGGUAAAGACCCAAGAAGUGACACGGAUGAUGGCACCUGUCAGGUGAGCUUAGAGGACGAGAAGAAGAAAGAGGGCCAGGAUGAGGUGGGAAAAGUGGACCUCAAGUGUGAGAAAACGGACCCAGAGAAGAGUGACUCAGAGGCCAGCGCCACAGGGGAACAGAAUGAUGCCUGCAAAGAAAAAUCUACCUCUGUGGCUGAGGAGCAGCAACCAGAGUCCACGAAGCUGGAUCACCUAGAAGAAAAGCAGAAACCAUCUGUGUUUGUGGAGAUCGACCUGGGAGACCAUACUGAAGAGGAGGUAAUCACCUGUACCAUAAAAGAAGAGAAGAGACUCCCCAAUGACAUAGGGGACUUGUCUGAAGAUGAGAUAAGGACCAGCUGGGUAUGCUGCAUCCCAUACCACACAAAGAAGAAGGCAAAGGAAACCACCAGUACUAUGGAGAAGAACCAUCAGUCGUCUCAGAACAGGACCCCUCUGACUCAGCCACUAGUAGAGCUUUCUGGGGACUAAGGGAAGACAGCCUAGGCCUGGAAUGGCUUCGUGAUCCCCCCCAUGGGCAGGGCCAGAGUGACAGCAGCCAACGGAUACUCAAGGCAAAGGACCCUCUUCCAAUCCAAGGCCAAGCACAGCCCUAGGAACCAACUCUUCAGGACCAACAGGCACCUCCCGCUUCCUGGCUACAUAAGCGCCAGCUAAUUGUUCACUAAAGGAAACAACACGUUAUGAACGCAUCGCUGGAGUUACAAUGUCAUAUAUAGACAACUUCCAGGCCACAGCUGGAGAGGAGAAGGGGAUAAGGUCACCUCUGAACUGGUCCUCCCUGCACCUACAUCCUGGGCCACAGCCCUCCUUAGUACCUCUGCCUGGAAGCCUAGUUCUCUAAGGAUGCUUGGAAAGGUGAACUCCCCAAUCACCUUCUCAUGUGACCCUCCUAUCACCUUCCCAUGUGACACCCCCAAUCACCUUCCCAUGUGACCCUCCCAUCACCUUCCCAUGUGACACCCCCCAUUACCUUCCCAUGUGACUCCACAUACACCAAUCAAAGCAAAACAAUUCCUGAAACAUC